rnacentral:lncRNA from 1 species
GGAUGUGACUCCCAGGAGGAGCGGCGGCAGAUGAAGGAGGACAUCGAGAGGAGGAGGAUGGAGGCAGCAGAGAGGAUGAAGAACCUGAGCACGUCCAGCGUGGACGGAGACGAGACGUUCAGCCCAUUCAGCCCCAAAGUCCCGACACACAAGAUCACAGAGAGGACGGAGUCCCUGAACCGCUCACUGAAGAAGAGGUGAGCUCCUCUUUAGUUUAAGUGUCUCUAAGUGCUCUGGAGGCUGGUGUGACACAUGAAGGUCAGAACUGCAGGUCCUUCUGCGGCCUCUGGAGGCUGACCCACUCCCCUCACACCUCCAUGUUGAAAUGUCCCGGCUUCUACCAGGCUGGUUGGACAUUUUAACAGUGCUGCCACUGACUGCAGUUA